rnacentral:rRNA from 1 species
AUUGAACGCUGGCGGCGUGCUUAACACAUGCAAGUCGAACGGAAUGGCCCUUCGGGGUACUCGAGUGGCGAACGGGUGAGUAACACGUGGGUGAUCUGCCCUGCACUUUGGGAUAAGCCUGGGAAACUGGGUCUAAUACCGAAUAGGACCACGGCAUUCAUGUGCUGUGGUGGAAAGCUUUUGCGGUGUGGGAUGGGCCCGCGGCCUAUCAGCUUGUUGGUGGGGUAAUGGCCUACCAAGGCGACGACGGGUAGCCGGCCUGAGAGGGUGACCGGCCACACUGGGACUGAGAUACGGCCCAGACUCCUACGGGAGGCAGCAGUGGGGAAUAUUGCACAAUGGGCGCAAGCCUGAUGCAGCGACGCCGCGUGAGGGAUGACGGCCUUCGGGUUGUAAACCUCUUUCAGUACCGACGAAGCGCAAGUGACGGUAGGUACAGAAGAAGGACCGGCCAACUACGUGCCAGCAGCCGCCGUAACAC